ACAUGGUAUUAGCACAUAUGCAUUUCUUUCCAUCUGACAGGAUUUUACGACCCGAAGGCCUUCAUCAUCCACGCGGCGUCGCUGCGUCAGGGUUGCCCCCAUUGCGCAAUAUUCCUCACUGCUGCCUCCCGUAGG
rnacentral:rRNA from 1 species